UAUGCAAAAAGUGGUUAGGGUUAAAAAUAAUCUCCCUGUAGGCAAGUAGAAUCGAACUUCCCUUUUCACAAAAGAUAUUUCUUAAUAUUUUGUCUCUAUCAUUAGGACACUUCCUUGUGUUCUCCCUUUGCUUUUCUCGUAAUGGACCAUCUUUAGCUAUCUGCUAGGAAACCUUUAUGCUCAAUGGGCCAUUGACUUUCUCUACGGUUUACCUUCUCUCUUCUACCCUUCUUUAGUAUUCAUCAAAUGACCAUUUAAUUUUGAUAUGAUCUUCAUGUGACUCU
rnacentral:lncRNA from 1 species